rnacentral:tRNA from 1 species
ACGUCCGUGGUCUAGUGGCUAAGACACCGAUCUCCAAAGUCGGGCGACGCAGGUUCGAGUCCUGCCGGGCGUGC